CGUGUAGGCGGCCAAACAGGUCCGUUGUGAAAACUGGAGGCUUAACCUCCAGACGUCGACGGAAACCGUAUGGCUAGAGUCCGGAAGAGGAGAGUGGAAUUCCUGGUGUAGCGGUGAAAUGCGCAGAUAUCAGGAAGAACACCAAUGGCGAAGGCAGCUCUCUGGGACGGUACUGACGCUGAGACGCGAAAGCGUGGGGAGCGAACA
rnacentral:rRNA from 1 species